GACGAACGCUGGCGGCGUGCCUAAUACAUGCAAGUCGAACGCUUCUUUCCUCCCGAGUGCUUGCACUCAAUUGGAAAGAGGAGUGGCGGACGGGUGAGUAACACGUGGGUAACCUACCCAUCAGAGGGGGAUAACACUUGGAAACAGGUGCUAAUACCGCAUAACAGUUUAUGCCGCAUGGCAUAAGAGUGAAAGGCGCUUUCGGGUGUCGCUGAUGGAUGGACCCGCGGUGCAUUAGCUAGUUGGUGAGGUAACGGCCCACCAAGGCCACGAUGCAUAGCCGACCUGAGAGGGUGAUCGGCCACACUGGGACUGAGACACGGCCCAGACUCCUACGGGAGGCAGCAGUAGGGAAUCUUCGGCAAUGGACGAAAGUCUGACCGAGCAACGCCGCGUGAGUGAAGAAGGUUUUCGGAUCGUAAAACUCUGUUGUUAGAGAAGAACAAGGACGUUAGUAACUGAACGUCCCCUGACGGUAUCUAACCAGAAAGACACGGCUAACUACGUG
rnacentral:rRNA from 1 species